rnacentral:rRNA from 1 species
GAACGCGAAGAACCUUACAGGUCUUGACAUCCCUCUGACCGCUCUAGAGAUAGAGUUUUCCUUCGGGACAGAGGUGACAGGUGGUACAUGGUUGUCGUCAGCUCGUGUCGUGAGAUGUUGGGUUAAGUCCCGCAACGAGCGCAACCCCUAUUGUUAGUUGCCAUCAUUUAGUUGGGCACUCUAGCGAGACUGCCGGUAAUAAACCGGAGGAAGGUGGGGAUGACGUCAAAAAUCAUCAUGCCCCUUAUGACCUGGGCUACACACGUGCUACAAUGGCUGGUACAACGAGUCGCAAGCCGGUGACGGCAAGCUAAUCUCUUAAAGCCAGUCUCAGUUCGGAUUGUAGGCUGCAACUCGCCUACAUGAAGUCGGAAUCGCUAGUAAUCGCGGAUCAGCACGCCGCGGUGAAUACGUUCCCGGGUCUUGUACACACC